GACGAACCGUCCAAACGUUAUUCGGAAUUACUGGGCUUAAAGGGUGCGUAGGCGGCGCGGAAAGUUGGGUGUGAAAUCCCUCGGCUCAACCGAGGAACUGCGCCCAAUACUACCGUGCUUGAGGGAGAUAGAGGUGAGCGGAACUUAGGGUGGAGCGGUGAAAUGCGUUGAUAUCCUAAGGAACACCGGUGGCGAAAGCGGCUCACUGGAUCUCUUCUGACGCUGAGGCACGAAAGCUAGGGUAGCGAACGGGG
rnacentral:rRNA from 1 species